GUAGGAGUGAGCCUGCUCGCGAUCGCGGUGGGUCAGCCAAUAUCUUUAUCAACUGGUACACCGCUAUCGCGAGCAGGCUCACUCCUAC
rnacentral:misc_RNA from 1 species